AACGCAAACAUAUAAUAUACGAUGCAACAACACAGGACUAUGAACGCAACGAUCAUUUUUUAUUUAAUUGUUCAAAGCUCACAGCAAAUUUAUUUGACGUUUCAACGCUCAUUUUACGGUAGCAUAUGGGAUUUUCCCAUAAAUUAAUUAUAAUUAAAAAAUUACAGUUGUAGAGUUGACAAUUGCACAAUUGCACAAUUGUAUAUACAUUGAAUUAUUCGUCAAAAUUAUGCGAACUUAUUUUUAUCCUCAGCCGUGCGACCAUACCCGCAUUGAAGUUUCAAGAUUAAGAUUAUAUCCACCAUUUAUAUUGGAUUGUUUCAUGAACUUCACUUGUGUCAAUUGUAACAGUUUGCAAUUUCGAUCCAAAACUGAUGGUUGGCUGCCAGUAUAUGAACGACUUGUCGCGUCAAUUUUUUACAAAAAAUUUGUAGAAUGUACAAUAUUAAAGGACCAAUUUAACAUCAAAUUUAACAUCCGCCACCCGUCAGCAGUUCCAUUUAAAUUUUCACUCCUCUCUUUAUAGUUUUUGAUUCCAUUAAAAAUGAUUGUUAAAUUUUGUCAAAAUAGAUAGCCCGGGCUGAUGUCCGUUUUCAGUUUUUUGAGUCGAACGAUGACCGUUGUUGAUUCUUUCGAGUCGAACGAUGUCAUUUUUUGACUUUGUUUGACUUUGUUCGAAUUUGUUUGUCUUUGUUCGGCAUUACCGGAAAUGUUCGACUUAGUUCAAAAAUGUUCGAAUUUACCGGUCAUUUUUAGUCUCUGUUCCAAUUUUUUUUUAAUUUUUACCAAAAAUUGGUCGAAUUUGUUCGAAAUACCUGACUUUGUACAAUAAAAAGAUCAAUUUUGUUCAAAAGUGUCGGCUCUCGAUAUCUUCCAAGAUAAAUUGCCACGGUCUCAUUGGGAUAAAUUGCUCUUUGUCGACUGCUCGACUGCUCUUUUCACUGGAUGCGAAUAGCGUUUUGGCUACAAAAAAUAGAUGCCCAGAAAAGGCCUGACACCGUACCAAGGAAGAUCCAGGUGUGUUGGCGAGUUCCAGUGCGAAAACUGUGGGCGAAAGUGGCGAAGUGCUAGUUCUUGGGCUGAAAUGGGGCAGAAAUGCGACAACUGUCAAGGCAACUAUGUGUAUCCACACAAGCAGACCCAGAUUUUGAAAUCGGAAGAAGAUCGCAUUGACAUCAACAACGAUCAUCCUCAGAAUAAGUGCCAGAAGUGUCGCCAAAUUGGAAGACCUUGCUAUCAGGGAGACAGUUGAUUUUAAAGACCAAGACUGCGAAAUUUUGCUGUUGAUCAUCUAUAAAAAAUAAACAAAGUAGCAGCAGACUUUUACUCCAAAGUUUGGCCUUCAAGGCCAGUAGAAGACUGCAUUUCAUAUGCACCCUUGGACCAAUAAAAAUAUUGAAGUGAACUCCAUUUUUUCUGCUAACUAGUAUAUUUUGAUGAUUGCUUGUUAAAUUGAAAGUAGUAAUAUC